rnacentral:rRNA from 1 species
AACGAACGCUGGCGGCGCGCUUAACACAUGCAAGUCGAACGAGAAGCUGUAGCAAUACAGUUGUACAGUGGCGAACGGGUGAGGAAUACAUGGGUAACCUACCCUCGAGUGGGGAAGUAACCAGCCGAAAGGCUGGCUAAUACCGCGUACGCUUCCCAAUCUGCGGGUUGGGAAGGAAAGACUCUACCGUGGGUAGAGCGCUCAAGGACGGGCUCAUGUCCUAUCAGCUUGNGGUUAGGGUAACGGCCUACCAAGGACAACGACGGGUAGGCUGGUCUGAGAGGACGGAUCAGCCACACUGGCACUGCGACACGGGCCGAGACUCCUACGGGAGGCAGCAGUGAGGAAUAUUGCGCAAUGGGC